rnacentral:rRNA from 1 species
AUUGCACGCUAGCGGGAUGCUUUACACAUGCACGUCGAACGAGUGGCGGACGGGUGAGUAAUAUAUCGGAACGUGCCCAGUAGCGGGGGAUACAUACUCGAAAGAGUGGCUAAUCACACAUCCUAUUGGAGCGGCCGAUAUCGGAUUAGCUAGUUGGUGGGGUAAAGGCUCACCAAGGCACCGAUCCGUAGCUGGUUUGAGAGGACGACCAGCCACACUGCGACUGAGACACGGCCCAGACUCCUACGUGAGGCAGCAGUGGGGAAUUUUGGACAAUGGGGGAAACCCUGAUCCAGCCAUCCCGCGUGUAUGAGAAGGCCUUCGGGUUGUAAAGUACUUUUGGCAGAGAAGCGGUAUCUGCAGAAUAAGCACCGGCUAACUACGUGCCAGCAGCCGCGGUAAUAC